rnacentral:rRNA from 1 species
UACGAAGGGUGCGAGCGUUAUUCGGAAUCACUGGGCGUAAAGAGCGCAAAGGUGGCUUUGUAAGUUGGCUGUUAAAGACCAUGACUUAAUCGUGGGAAAGCAGCCAAUACUGCUAGGCUAGAGGGCGAGAGAGAGGAGUGGAAUUCUUGGAGUAGCGGUAAAAUGCGUAGAUCUCAAGAGGAACACCGAUGGCGAAGGCAGCUCCUUGGCUCGUUCCUGACACUCAAGCGCGAAAGCGUGGGGAGCAAAC